AACGAACGCUGGCGGCAUGCCUAACACAUGCAAGUCGAACGAGACCUUCGGGUCUAGUGGCGCACGGGUGCGUAACGCGUGGGAACCUGCCCUUAGGUUCGGAAUAACUCCCUGAAAGGGGUGCUAAUACCGGAUAAUGUCUUCGGACCAAAGAUUUAUCGCCUUUGGAUGGGCCCGCGUUGGAUUAGCUAGUUGGUAGGGUAAAAGCCUACCAAGGCGACGAUCCAUAGCUGGUCUGAGAGGAUGAUCAGCCACACUGGGACUGAGACACGGCCCAGACUCCUACGGGAGGCAGCAGUGGGUAAUAUUGUACAAGGGGCGAAAGCCUAAGCCAGCAAUGCCGCGUGAGUGAUGAAGGCCUUAGGGUUGUAAAGCUCUUUUACCCGGGAUGAUAAUGACGGUACCGGGAGAAUAAGCGCCGGCUAACUCCGUG
rnacentral:rRNA from 1 species